GUGAAGAUAAUGACUGUAGCAGGUAAAGAAACCCCGGCUAACUCCGUGCCAGCAGCCGCGGUAAUACGGAGGGGGUUAGCGUUGUUCGGAAUUACUGGGCGUAAAGCGCGCGUAGGCGGACAUUUAAGUCAGAGGUGAAAUCCCAGGGCUCAACCCUGGAACUGCCUUUGAUACUGGGUGUCUUGAGUUCGAGAGAGGUGAGUGGAAUUCCGAGUGUAGAGGUGAAAUUCGUAGAUAUUCGGAGGAACACCAGUGGCGAAGGCGGCUCACUGGCUCGAUACUGACGCUGAGGUGCGAAAGUGUGGGGAGCAAACAGGAUUAGAUACCCUGGUAGUCCACACCGUAAACGAUGAAUGCCAGUCGUCGGGUAGUAUACUAUUCGGUGACACACCUAACGGAUUAAGCAUUCCGCCUGGGGAGUACGGUCGCAAGAUUAAAACUCA
rnacentral:rRNA from 1 species